AUUGAACGCUGGCGGAAUGCUUUACACAUGCAAGUCGAGCGGCAGCGCGGCCUUCGGGCUGGCUGCGAGCGGCGCACGGGUGAGUAAUGCAUCGGAACAUGCCCAGUCGUGGGGGAUAACACUUCGAAAGAAGUGCUAAUACCGCAUACUUCCUGAGGGGGCAAGCGGGGGAUCGCAAGACCUCGCGCGAUUGGAGUGGCCGAUGUCAGAUUAGCUAGUUUGUGGGGUAAAGGCCUACCAAGCGAACGAUCUGUGGCUGGUCUGAGAGGAUGAUCAGCCACACUGGGACUGAGACACGGCCCAGACUCCUACGGGAGGCAGCAGUGGGGAAUUUUGGACAAAGGGGGCAACCCUGAUCCAGCCAUUCCGCGUGAGUGAAGAAGGCCUUCGGUUUGGAAAGCUCUUUCGGCAGGAACGAAACGGUGGGCUCUAACAUAGUCCGCUAAUGACGGUACCUGAAGAAGAAGCACCGGCUAACUACGUG
rnacentral:rRNA from 1 species